GCUGGCAGCUAGCUCUCUGCAACUCUCCCACUGAAGCUAAGCAGGGCUGCGCCCGGUCAGUACCUGGAUGGGAGACCACAUGGGAAAGCUAAGUUGCUGCCGGAA
rnacentral:rRNA from 1 species